GACGAACCGUGCAAACGUUGUUCGGAAUCACUGGGCUUAAAGGGCGCGUAGGCGGGCCAGCCAGUCUGUGGUGAAAGCCUCCAGCUUAACUGGAGAAGUGCCGUGGAUACUGCUGGCCUCGAGGAGGAUAGGGGCAUCUGGAACGGUCGGUGGAGCGGUGAAAUGCGUUGAUAUCGACCGGAACUCCGGUGGCGAAGGCGGCAUCCUGGACCGGCAUUGACGCUGAGGCGCGAAAGCCAGGGGAGCAAACGGG
rnacentral:rRNA from 1 species